rnacentral:tRNA from 1 species
UAUUUAUAUAGUUUAAUAAAAACAUUACACUUUCAUUGUAAAAUUAGAAUCUUUUCUUAUAAAUA